rnacentral:misc_RNA from 1 species
UUUCCGUAGGUGAACCUGCGGAAGGAUCAUUAUUGAAUGAAACACUUCUGGCUUUGUGCUGUUGUGCUGGCCCUUUGGGCAAUGUGCACACGGCUCUGGUCACUUGUUUCUUCUGUUCCACCUGUGCACUGCCUGUAGACACGCUGUGUCUAUGAUAUUUGUUAACACACAACAAUGUUAGUUGGCAUGUUAUAUAUAAUAAUAAAAUAUACAACUUUCAACAACGGAUCUCUUGGCUCUC